CGCUCCAGAUCCUUUCCCGAAAUCAGGCUUUGAAAGGAAAAGUAAUGUGAUCUUUAGAACACUGAAUGCCAAGGACCCACCAGCAAUAGGAGAUCAGAAUAUCCAAGACCAUCUUUCCUAAUUAAUAGUAUUUUUCCAACAGUGUUUAUUGUAAAUAUUCUCCCUCAACCCCAAUUUAAAGGGUUGGCUCUAGAAAGUUUCUGGGCUGGGCUUGUGUUUGAAUUUUUAGAACCAUCAUAUUCUCAAAUCUUCGCAAAUAGAAGCAGUAUUCUCUCCUAAGAAACACUUUAGAUCCUUUCAGCAUCACUCUGUACCUAAGGUUUUCUGUACUUCUGGUAACUGCCAUUCAUUCAACCAAAAGGAGAAGGCAAUGGCACCCCACUCCAGUACUCUUGCCUGGAAAAUCCCAUGGACGGAGGAGCCUGGUAGGCUGCAGUCCAUGGGGUCGCAAAGAGUCGGACACGACUGAGUGACUUCACUUUCACUUUUCACUUUCAUACAUUGAAGAAGGAAAUGACAACCCACUCCAGUGUUCUUGCCUGGAGAAUCCCAGGGACGGGGGAGCCUGGUGGGCUGCCGUCUAUGGGGUCGCACAGAGUCGGACACAACUGAAGCAACUUAGCAGCAGCAGCAGCAUUCAACCAAAGCCUAAGCAUGUUAUAAAACAGCCUCAACCGAAACAAGAGAGACAGAGGAUGUCAACCACUGAAUCUUUCUAAUAUCUGGACAGACUUCAAAUGACUUUUCGGGUUAUAAGGUGUAUAUAUACAGCUGGCUUGAUUUCUGUAUUCUUGAAUGCACAAGCUCACAAAGCCAGGAGCCCACACAUCUCUGGAAUCUGGAACACGGGCUUAUCAAUGCAUACAAGGAAGAAUGUAUUUUCCAUAUGUGGCACUGCAAGAGUUAAGUGAUUAGCCUGAGACUGCUGCUAAGUCACUUCAGUCGUGUCCGACUCUGUGCGACCCCAUAGACAGCAGCCCACCAGGCUCCACCAUCCCUGGAAUUCUCCAGGCAAGAACAACGGAGUGGGUUGCCAUUUCCUUCUCCAAUGCAGGAAAGUGAAAAGUGAAAGUGAAGUUGCUCAGUCUUGUCCAACUCUUAGCGACUCCAUGGACUGCAGCCUACCAGGCUCCUCUGUCCAUGGGAUUUUCCAGGCAAGAGUACUGGAGUGGGUUGCCACCGCCUUAGAGAGGGAAUAAACUGCCAGAAU
rnacentral:lncRNA from 1 species